rnacentral:rRNA from 1 species
GACGUAGGAUGCGAGCGUUGUCCGGAUUCAUUGGGCGUAAAGAGUUCGUAGGUGGUUUGUUAAGUCUGAUGUUAAAGAUCAGGGCUCAACCCUGAGACUGCAUUGGAUACUGGCAGACUUGAGUAUGGUAGAGGCUAGUGGAAUUCCCAGUGUAGCGGUGAAAUGCGUAGAUAUUGGGAAGAACACCGGUGGCGUAGGCGACUAGCUGGGCCAUAACUGACGCUGAGGAACGAAAGCCAGGGUAGCGAAUGGGAUUAGAUACCCCAGUAGUCCUGGCCGUAAACGAUGGAUACUAGGCGUAUCGGGUAUCGACCCCUGAUGUGCCGCAGCUAACGCGAUAAGUAUCCCGCCUGAGUAGUACGGCCGCAAGGUUGAA